UGCAGUCGAGCGGACAGAUGGGAGCUUGCUCCCUGAUGUUAGCGGCGGACGGGUGAGUAACACGUGGGUAACCUGCCUGUAAGACUGGGAUAACUCCGGGAAACCGGGGCUAAUACCGGAUGGUUGUNUGAACCGCAUGGUUCAGACAUAAAAGGUGGCUUCGGCUACCACUUACAGAUGGACCCGCGGCGCAUUAGCUAGUUGGUGAGGUAACGGCUCACCAAGGCGACGAUGCGUAGCCGACCUGAGAGGGUGAUCGGCCACACUGGGACUGAGACACGGCCCAGACUCCUACGGGAGGCAGCAGUAGGGAAUCUUCCGCAAUGGACGAAAGUCUGACGGAGCAACGCCGCGUGAGUGAUGAAGGUUUUCGGAUCGUAAAGCUCUGUUGUUAGGGAAGAACAAGUGCCGUUCAAAUAGGGCGGCACCUUGACGGUACCUAACCAGAAAGCCACGGCUAACUACGUGCCAGCAGCCGCGGUAAUACGUAGGUGGCAAGCGUUGUCCGGAAUUAUUGGGCGUAAAGGGCUCGCAGGCGGUUUCUUAAGUCUGAUGUGAAAGCCCCCGGCUCAACCGGGGAGGGUCAUUGGAAACUGGGGAACUUGAGUGCAGAAGAGGAGAGUGGAAUUCCACGUGUAGCGGUGAAAUGCGUAGAGAUGUGGAGGAACACCAGUGGCGA
rnacentral:rRNA from 1 species